rnacentral:lncRNA from 1 species
GUGGGGAGAACUCAAGGAUUAGCCAAUAGCAGUCCCCCAUCCUCCUGCAUGGUCACCAUCAUCUGUUUCCCCUGGAGGUGAUAAUACCUCUGAUGGAGUGGCUUGGUGAUGCUGAUGUGACAGAACAUGAGGAGUGAGAGGUUCUAGAGCCACAAGGAGAAACUGCCUGCCCAGGGUUGGCAACAGGAGCUUGUGGCCCUGGACCACGAACACAUUAGCCAUAACUAGUAUAAACACUCCUGAUGGUCUGCACUAUGAAAGACCCAGGACAUAAUCCUGGGGGAAUGGAUGUGGUAGCCUUCUUAAUGAAGAUUGAGAUGGACUUUUCUACAAGCCUAGUGAGUAGGAGCUAGAAGUAGAUGCAAUUUAAUUUGGAAAAAUUGAUAAACUUAUGAAUGUGGCAUUUAUUGCACUUUACCGUUAUAGGGAGUAAACUUCAUAGCUGAUGUCCACACUUCUUUGUUAGUGCAUACAAGAUUUCAUUAAUGGGCUUCUGUGGAUGGAUGAGAGCUCAUGGAUGUCCUCCAGGGAAUACUGUCAUUGAAACUAACUUUUGGGGAAACCACCAGAGCAUUCAUUCAGAGAUCAUUGUUUUACUAUCUCUGCAUCAGGGCAUCAUAAGCAUUUGGAAUGAUUCUUCCUGA